ACACAGAGCUUGGUGUUGGAUUGUUUUGGGUUUGAUUUGUUACAGCUAACCAGACAUUUUUAAAGAAGCAACUCUGGUCUAGCUUCUUUUGCCUAGGCCAGAGAUGAAGAUGCUGAGUUAAGAGUAUUUGAAAAAGCAUUAGUCAUCUUCAGUUUAUCUUUUCAUAAACCAAGUUAAUUACUCUAGAAGAUGACCAUCCUGAACUCUGGGGUCAGUGUACAGAUGGAGUCCUUGAGUAAUAUGCAUUGGUUCAGAAUAAUCAUUCUUACCCAUUCUUCUGGUUCUCCUCCUACUCC
rnacentral:lncRNA from 1 species